CAUCGAUGAAGAACGCAGCGAAAUGCGAUAAGUAAUGUGAAUUGCAGAAUUCAGUGAAUCAUCGAAUCUUUGAACGCACAUUGCGCCCGCCAGUAUUCUGGCGGGCAUGCCUGUUCGAGCGUCAUUUCAACCCUCAAGCCCUUGUUUGGUGUUGGG
rnacentral:rRNA from 1 species